GGACUCGUAGCUCAGCUGGAUAGAGCGUCGCCCUCCGAAGGCGAAGGUCGAAGGUUCGAAUCCUUUCGAGUCCGCCA
rnacentral:tRNA from 36 species